GCGUCCUGGGUGUGUUGGACAGCACGUUCAGCUUCUAACUGGAAAGGCCGGGUUCGAUUCCUGGAGGACGCGCCA
rnacentral:tRNA from 1 species